rnacentral:rRNA from 1 species
GACGGAGGAUGCAAGCGUUAUCCGGAAUGAUUGGGCGUAAAGCGUCCGCAGGUGGCAGUUCAAGUCUGCUGUCAAAGACCGGGGCUUAACUUCGGAAAGGCAGUGGAAACUGAACAGCUAGAGUAUGGUAGGGGCAGAGGGAAUUCCUGGUGUAGCGGUGAAAUGCGCAGAUAUCAGGAGGAACACCAAUGGCGAAGGCAGCUCGCUGGAACGGUACUGACGCUGAGGCGCGAAAGCGUGGGGAGCAAACAGG